rnacentral:rRNA from 1 species
AGAUUGAACGCUGGCGGCAUGCCUUACACAUGCAAGUCGAACGGUAGAGUAGCAAUACUUGAGAGUGGCGAACGGGUGAGUAAUAUAUCGGAACGUGCCCAGUCGUGGGGGAUAACGUAGAGAAAUUUACGCUAAUACCGCAUACGAUCUAAGGAUGAAAGCGGGGGACCGUAAGGCCUCGCGCGAUUGGAGCGGCUGACAUCAGAUUAGGUUGUUGGUGAGGUAAAAGCUCACCAAGCCGACGAUCUGUAGCUGGUUUGAGAGAACGACCAGCCACACUGGGACUGAGACACGGCCCAGACUCCUACGGGAGGCAGCAGGUGGGAAUUUGGACAAUGGGACGAAAGCCUGAUCCAGCAAUGCCGCGUGCGAAGGAAGAACGGCCGUUCGGGUUCGUAAACGUGUCUUUUAGUAACGGAACGAAACGGUCGUAGUACGUUUAAUACGUAGU